AAUUGCGGACAGGCAUUAACAGCCCUGUAAUCUGCAAAGCACCUUACGACCACUGUGCGCACUUCCUUGCACGGAGGUGGCAGGAGCUUGCGAACCUGGUGAUCCUAGGGAAGCCCAGCUUUGAAAACAUCCCAACAUGGAGCUGUUUCCAGCAGAAACAGGAAUGUAACUGUGAUGGUUACCUCAAGAGCCUAGUGACCUCGGGGACUUCUUCCCAGCAACGCCAGUCAGUGAAAUGAAAAUGAAAUGUUGAUGACAUGCAUGAGACGUUUCAGUUGCCUCUUGGGUUUUGACUGGAGAUGGAGUUGGACUGUCUCUUCACAGAGCUGCCUGCUGGCAGGGGCAAGAGUGGAGGGAUGGAGGAACAAGAGCAAGGUCCUGCCAAGCAGGUAAAAGGACGAGUGGCGAAAGCUAAAGUGCGUGCUUCAAAAAACAGAACUUGAGGGAACAAACAGAGCUAGUCUGACCUACUGGGAGCAGAAGUGGACUUUGGAGUAGGGUGAGGGAAGCUAGAACAGGUAGAUCUUGGAAGAUUGUCAAGUCAACCUGUUUUGUAGGUUAGUGAGCUGGUGCCAUUUAGGUCUAGUAUUGUGCAUGGUUCUUGUUUUACCAUGCAAUGGAUAAAAGCUUUCUAUGUAAGAGCUGGUAUGUCUUGUUUGUAGAAAGUAAGCACAGAAGCUCACACUGGUUGUUACUUGUGCUCUGGCUGAUAGUAUGGCCUCUUCUAGAGAGGCCAAAGAUUCUGCAUUUCCCUUGCUGGGAUGAUGCUUUGAAAUUCUCUUU